rnacentral:lncRNA from 1 species
GAAUAUUUCAUUCCGUUAAUGGUACAAUAAGAUCCCCUCACUGACCUCAGAAUUUUCUCCAAAACAGCAGAUGUUCCUGGAUGGUCAUUAUUCACAAAAGUAAACACUUGGAGAUCAGCUUUGACACAACUUCCUAAUCCCCAGUGGUAAUGGACAAUGUCAGAAUAGCUUCGUGAAGGUGUGGGCAGGAACUGAGGAGGUUGACAAAGCCCUGCUAGCCACUGGCUUUGGGAACGUGGCUCUGGGUCUCAUCAUCAUUCCAAGUAACACAUUCACUGCCAUCUUCCAGUCUCAGGAGGCACCAGCUCAGGGCUUCUCUGCGUCCUUUGUUAGCUGAUGUGGAAGAAAUUUCACUGGCCCUUCAGGUUAUAUCGUUUCUCCAAAUU